rnacentral:rRNA from 1 species
UUGUAGGCUGCAACUCGCCUACAUGAAGUCGGAAUUGCUAGUAAUCGCGGAUCAGCAUGCCGCGGUGAAUACGUUCCCGGGCCUUGUACACACCGCCCGUCACACCAUGGAAGUUGGUAACACCCGAAGCCUGUAGCCUAACCGCAAGGAGGGCGCAGUCGAAGGUGGGAUUGAUGACUGGGGUGAAGUCGUAACAAGGUAAC